UACGUAGGGCGCAAGCGUUGUCCGGAAUUAUUGGGCGUAAAGAGCUCGUAGGUGGCCUGUCGCGUCGGCUGUGAAAACUCGGGGCUCAACUCCGAGCUUGCAGUCGAUACGGGCAGGCUAGAGUUCGGCAGGGGAGACUGGAAUUCCUGGUGUAGCGGUGAAAUGCGUAGAUAUCAGGAGGAAUACCUAUGGCGAAAGCAGGUAUCUGGGCCAUCACUGACGCUGAGCUGCGAAAGCUAGGGGAGCAAACAGG
rnacentral:rRNA from 1 species